rnacentral:lncRNA from 1 species
AUAACUCUGUACCAUAGAAGGAGAAUUCUGAAUUUGGGAUACAGUUAGCUUUCAAGGUUGCUUUACUGCUUUUCUAGGGCAACACCAUUUUGUCCAAUGGCCCAGAUGCCCAAAUUCCAUCAAAGGAUUGUCUGCUGCUUACCACCAAGCUCAUCUUAUUACUGUUGAAGCACUGAAGCAAUUCCUGCUUCCCGUCAGUGAAUGAAAAUCCCUUGGAGAAGGAAGAGCCCUCUGUUCAUUUGUGACCUCUAUCUGAUGGGCUGAUUUCCUAAAUUUCAAGAUGUACCUAAUGCCCUGACUGCCACACGAAGCGGAAAGCCACAGAUGUCCUCUGAACAAUUAUAUAAAGCACAGUUGCUGGAAGGAAGUAGACCUGAAGUUUACCUGAAGUUUGCAUCCUUUUCAGAUGUGGGAUGUGCAUCUCAGCAUACACUCACAGCCACGCAGAUGUAGGCACAAGUUGUAUUCACAAGGAGAAGAAUGUAAAUGCCUCUUGAAAAUGAAAUGAAUGAAAUGUCUCUUUGAAGAAUGUAAAAAUCUCUUGAAAUUACUUAAUAAUAAGACCAUGUCUCCUAA